AGUCGAGGGGUAUGGUUCUUCGGAACCAGAGACCGGCGCACGGGUGCGUAACGCGUAUGCAAUCUGCCUUUCACAGAGGGAUAGCCCAGAGAAAUUUGGAUUAAUACCUCAUAGUAUAGCGACAUCGCAUGAUGAUGCUAUUAAAGUCACAACGGUGAAAGAUGAGCAUGCGUCCCAUUAGCUAGUUGGUAAGGUAACGGCUUACCAAGGCAACGAUGGGUAGGGGUCCUGAGAGGGAGAUCCCCCACACUGGUACUGAGACACGGACCAGACUCCUACGGGAGGCAGCAGUGAGGAAUAUUGGACAAUGGGCGCAAGCCUGAUCCAGCCAUGCCGCGUGCAGGAUGACGGUCCUAUGGAUUGUAAACUGCUUUUGCACAGGAAGAAACAACGCUACGUGUAGCGUCUUGACGGUACUGUGAGAAUAAGGAUCGGCUAACUCCGUGCCAGCAGCCGCGGUAAUACGGAGGAUCCAAGCGUUAUCCGGAAUCAUUGGGUUUAAAGGGUCCGUAGGCGGUCUUAUAAGUCAGUGGUGAAAUCUCCCCGCUCAACGGGGAAACGGCCAUUGAUACUGUAGGACUUGAAUUAUUAGGAAGUAACUAGAAUAUGUAGUGUAGCGGUGAAAUGCUUAGAGAUUACAUGGAAUACCAAUUGCGAAGGCAGGUUACUACUAAUGGAUUGACGCUGAUGGACGAAAGCGUGGGUAGCGAACAGGAUUAGAUACCCUGGUAGUCCACGCCGUAAACGAUGGAUACUAGCUGUUGGGCGCAAGUUCAGUGGCUAAGCGAAAGUGAUAAGUAUCCCACCU
rnacentral:rRNA from 1 species